rnacentral:lncRNA from 1 species
AUGUGCCUGUGUGAAUGGUAUCUUCACUGGAGGGGCGUGAGUCUGUUCACUCCCUGCACACAGGAGCAGAACAGGGAGACUCAGAACCUCCUUCUCCGGCAGGCGUUUUUAGAGCUGGCCGUUAGCCAGAGCUGGGUAGCCCACAAGGAAGUCCUGGGAGCCCCCGCCUGCCCUCUCGCUGGGCCUCUGCCAUUUUUCUUCACCACGAGGCUACGCAUCCUCUCUCUUCUCUCCUUUGACAAACCUACUUAUAGGCCCUGCAGCCCCACAUGGACGUACUCCUUCUCCUCCAGACUCGGCAGCUGGAUGGACUCCGCCUCCUGGAAGCCCUCUAGGGAUAGCAAAGUAGCCCAGAGAGAGGCCCAAUCUCAGAGGCCCCGGCCAUACUUGCCGGGAGGGGCUGGUGGCUCCCUGGUCACAGGGAAGGAGAGACAGGGUGUGGAGGAGGCUGGGUCUCUGCCCAACAGGCCCUGGGCUUCAAACCCUGGUGCCCUGGCUCCUGAGCCCCUACUGCCCUCCCCAGCUUGGAUGCUGCACCUUUAUUAAUAUUGCAAACCAACCCCACCCCUGCCAGCCCCCAACCAGCCACUGUUGCCCAUAGACCUGACCAUCAUCAUUAAACCCCUAAGCCCACAUGGGACCCCCGCCGCCCAGCCCUCCCCACCCCAGGCCUGUGCAGUCAGGUCUGCGGCCCCCACCGCGGCGGUUCUUUCCCUUUUUAUCUACUUCGAGCCUCGUUCCUCCCAAUUCCUCGGGAGGCAGGACACAA